rnacentral:misc_RNA from 1 species
CGAGCGGGGCCGGUCUGACCGUCGCGACCCUCGACUCGGACGACGAGCGCGUCUCGGUGUCGGUGUCGGUCUCGGCGGGGGGCGUGCUCGCGUGCUCUGUCGUCCUGGGGCCCGGCGCGGACGUCGUCGGGUCCACCGCGUGCGAAGACUCGGAGGAUGCAGGGCGGGGGGCGGAGGUGGUCUCUGGCGGGCGCGCGGAGGGGGAGGGGACGGUG